UACGUAGGGUGCGAGCGUUGUCCGGAAUUACUGGGCGUAAAGAGCUCGUAGGCGGUUUGUCGCGUCUGCUGUGAAAACUCGGGGCUUAACCCCGGGCCUGACAGUGGGUACGGGCAGACUAGAGUGCGGUAGGGGAGACUGGAAUUCCUGGUGUAGCGGUGAAAUGCGCAGAUAUCAGGAGGAACACCGGUGGCGAAGGCGGGUCUCUGGGCAGUAACUGACGCUGAGGAGCGAAAGCGUGGGGAGCGAACAGGA
rnacentral:rRNA from 1 species